rnacentral:rRNA from 1 species
UGCAUCGAUGAGAACGCAGCGAAAUGCGAUAAGUAAUGUGAAUUGCAGAAUUCAGUGAAUCAUCGAAUCUUUGAACGCACAUUGCGCCCGCCAGCAUUCUGGCGGGCAUGCCUGUUCGAGCGUCAUUUCAACCCUCGACGUCCCCCCGGGGACGUCGGCGUUGGGGACCGGCAGCACACCGCCGCCCCCGAAAUGAAGUGGCGGCCCGUCCGCGGCGACCUCUGCGUAGUACUCCAACGCGCACCGGGACCCCGACGCGGCCACGCCGUAAAACACCCCACUCUGAACGUUGACCUCGGAUCAGGUAGGAAUACCCGCUGAACUUAAGCAUAUCAAUAAGCGGAGGAA